rnacentral:rRNA from 1 species
UAAGGAAUAUUGGACAAUGGAGGCAACUCUGAUCCAGCCAUGCCGCGUGAAGGAAUAAGGCCCUAUGGGUUGUAAACUUCUUUUAGACGGGACAAAACCCCUUUACGUGUAAAGGGUUGAUGGUACUGUCAGAAUAAGCAUCGGCUAACUUCGUGCCAGCAGCCGCGGUAAUACGAAGGAUGCAAGCGUUAUCCGGAAUUAUUGGGUUUAAAGGGUGCGUAGGCGGACUAAUAAGUCAGUGGUGAAAGCCUGCAGCUUAACUGCAGAAUUGCCAUUGAUACUGUUAGUCUUGAGUACAGUUGAGGUAGGCGGAAUGUGUCAUGUAGCGGUGAAAUGCUUAGAUAAGACACAGAACACCGAUUGCGAAGGCAGCUUGCUAAGCUGUAACUGACGCUGAGGCACGAAAGCGUGGGGAGCAAACA